rnacentral:rRNA from 1 species
GAUGAACGCUGGCGGCGUGCCUAAUACAUGCAAGUCGAGCGAACAGAUGAGGAGCUUGCUCCUCUGACGUUAGCGGCGGACGGGUGAGUAACACGUGGAUAACCUACCUAUAAGACUGGGAUAACUUCGGGAAACCGGAGCUAAUACCGGAUAAUAUAUUGAACCGCAUGGUUCAAUAGUGAAAGACGGUUUUGCUGUCACUUAUAGAUGGAUCCGCGCCGCAUUAGCUAGUUGGUAAGGUAACGGCUUACCAAGGCAACGAUGCGUAGCCGACCUGAGAGGGUGAUCGGCCACACUGGAACUGGAACACGGUCCAGACGCCUACGGGAGGCAGCAGUAGGGAAUGUUCCGCAGUGGGCGAAAGCCUGACGGAGCAACGCCGCGUGAGUGAUAAAGGUCUUCGGAUCGUAAAACUCUGUUAUUAGGGAAGAACAAAUGUGUAAGUAACUAUGCACGUCUUGACGGUACCUAAUCAGAAAGCCACGGCUAACUACGUG